UAAGGAAUAUUGGUCAAUGGGCGGAAGCCUGAACCAGCCAUGCCGCGUGCAGGAUGACUGCCCUAUGGGUUGUAAACUGCUUUUGUCCAGGAAUAAACCUAGAUACGUGUAUCUAGCUGAAUGUACUGGAAGAAUAAGGAUCGGCUAACUCCGUGCCAGCAGCCGCGGUAAUACGGAGGAUCCGAGCGUUAUCCGGAUUUAUUGGGUUUAAAGGGUGCGUAGGCGGCCUAUUAAGUCAGGGGUGAAAUACGGUGGCUCAACCAUCGCAGUGCCUUUGAUACUGAUGGGCUUGAAUCCAUUUGAAGUGGGCGGAAUAAGACAAGUAGCGGUGAAAUGCAUAGAUAUGUCUUAGAACUCCGAUUGCGAAGGCAGCUCACUAAGCUGGUAUUGACGCUGAUGCACGAAAGCGUGGGGAUCGAACAGGAUUAGAUACCCUGGUAGCCCACGCCCUAAACGAUGAUAACUCGAUGUUGGCGAUAGACAGCCAGCGUCCAAGCGAAAGCGUUAAGUUAUCCACCUGGGGAG
rnacentral:rRNA from 1 species